CCGUCCUUGGGCUACAUCCAAAGAUUAGGGUUUGAUACAUACAAAAGUACAAUGUGUUUUGGAAAUAGGGUCGGAAAAAUGAAGAACAACAUCGGGCGCCCCCAGUUAAACAUCUACCAAAAAAAACCAUUUCAAAUCGCAUCACAAGUGAUAUGCUAACCUAGAAGAGAAGAUGUGCGGACCCUAGAAGAGAAUAUCCUCAGCCACACAAGACAAUUUCAAGAGUUUGCGAUCCAUGGAGGCCUAAACGAAAGAAAAAUCAAGCGUCUUUACAACAGGCAUUUGAAACGGUUCGGAUCUUGAGAAAUCAUAUGCAUUUGUAUCAACAGACAAUAACAAUCAUCGUUGUGUAGACAAAAUUGAAAAAUAAUUGUUGGGAAGACUGUUCCUUGCGGGUCAGUAACAACAUUGAAGAAUAUUCAGCAGUGGUAGUCGUCGUGUGCUCCGCCUUCGUAAAUAAAUACAAAGGUAACUAAUGGAUUAUCAUGGGUUAUUUUUAUUACUAAUCUGUGAGAAAUUGAGAACAAGCAUAUACUCAAUAUUCCAAUAAAAAGCAGAGCAUGGAAGUACUCUCUGUCUUCCCACCAA